UUGGAGGGCAAGUCUGGUGCCAGCAGCCGCGGUAAUUCCAGCUCCAAUAGCGUAUAUUAAAGUUGUUGUAGUUAAAAAGCUCGUAGUUGAAUUUCGGGGUUAGUAGGUUGGUCAUGCCUCUGGUAUGUACUGGUCUCACUGAUUCCUCCUUCCUGAUGAGCCGUAAUGCCAUUAAUUUGGUGUUGCGGGGAAUUUGGACUGUUACUUUGAAAAAAUUAGAGUGUUUAAAGCAAGCUAACGCUUGAAUACAUUAGCAUGGAAUAAUGAAAUAGGACGUUCGAUCCUAUUUUGUUGGUUUCUAGGAUUGACGUAAUGAUUAAUAGGGAUAGUUGGGGGCAUUAGUAUUCAAUUGUCAGAGGUGAAAUUCUUGGAUUUAUUGAAGACUAACUACUGCGAAAGCAUUUGCCAAGGAUGUUUUCAUUAAUCAAGAACGAAAGUUAGGGGAUCGAAGACGAUCAGAUACCGUCGUAGUCUUAACCAUAAACUAUGCCGACUAGGGAUCGGAUGAUGUUAAUUUUUUAAUGACUCAUUCGGCGCCUUACGGGAAAC
rnacentral:rRNA from 1 species